CUAAGAAUAUUCCGCAAUGGACGAAAGUCUGACGGAGCGACGCCGCGUGGAUGAAGAAGGCCGAAAGGUUGUAAAAUCCUUUUGUCGGGGAAGAAUAAGCGUGGGAGGGAAUGCCCGCGUGAUGACAUGAACCGGUGAAUAGGCCCCGGCUAACUACGUGCCAGCAGCCGCGGUAACACGUAGGGGGCGAGCGUUGUUCGGAAUUACUGGGCGUAAAGGGCAUGUAGGCGGUUUUGUAAGCCUGGCGUGAAAUUCUGCAGCUUAACUGUAGGACUGCGCUGGGAACUGCGAGACUGGAGUCACGGAGAAGGAGCCAGAAUUCCAGGUGUAGGGGUGAAAUCUGUAGAUAUCUGGAAGAAUACCAAUGGCGAAGGCAGGCUUCUGGCCGAUGACUGACGCUGAGGUGCGAAAGCGUGGGUAGCAAACAG
rnacentral:rRNA from 1 species